rnacentral:misc_RNA from 1 species
GAAAUGCGAUAAGUAGUGUGAAUUGCAGAAUUCAGUGAAUCAUCGAAUCUUUGAACGCACAUUGCGCCCCUUGGUAUUCCAUGGGGCAUGCCUGUUCGAGCGUCAUUUGUACCCUCAAGCUCUGCUUGGUGUUGGGUGUUUGUCCCGUCUCCGCGCGUGGACUCGCCCCAAAGUGAUUGGCAGCCGGCGUACUGGUCCCGGAGCGCAGCACAUGUCGCGCAAACGAGUGCCUUGGUACGGCGGCGUCCAUAAGCCCCUCUCUCACGCUCUUGACCUCGGAUCAGGUAGAGAUGCCCGCUGAACUUAAGC